rnacentral:lncRNA from 1 species
UAAACUCCUUGAAGUAUCUCAAUCUAAAUCCAUUAAUUACAGCAACAAGGAUUUAGCUUCAAAUGCCUCAUUAACCGACCAGGAAUUAACCAACUGUUGAAUAUCCUUAUUUGACAGCAACACAAUGCAGGGACAACAUGGAUGGUACUAAAGACCACAAAUCCAGAACUAAGCACACUAUCGCACCACUGAUUGGAAGACUGCUAACUACCAAAACUAGCUAAAAGUAUUGAAACUAUAUACAUAUGCAAGAGAUAACAACAUCAAAUGUACAACUCCACUGCUACUACAGGCAGUAGAAAUUGCACUGUUACUACACAAACAAUUAGGAAAUUGUGGUUAGAAAAUCCCCACACCAGGAAGCAACCAAUCAAAAACUGAUUACGACCUGCUUCGGUCGCCAUACUCAAUUCUCCACACAUUUGAGGCAAGCUCUAGGAUUCAAAGGGGUAGAAAAGCUUGGUAUGAACCCAACUAAAGGAGUAAGAUUUUUUCUUUGUUAUCAUUAUAAUGAGAGCAGGCUUCAUCCCUCUUUGAAGCAUUUCAUCAAACAACUUGUCUGCUUGAUCGAGUUAACUGCAAAAUAUGAAACAAUUUUUUUUCUUGAACAGGCAAAAUAUGAAACAACUGAACGUCAAUGUUCGAUUAAGAGCAACUGCAAAAUGCCUCCAUCACAAUCUUUGUGCCAUUGAAGUUGAAGAUUUCUCUGGUUGCGUCACGUGCAGACUCACCGUCAUCGACAACAACAUGCGACAACCAUGACUUAUUUCGUAGAUGUUAUAGAGCAGGACAACUCCAACCCCAGACGCAACGUUGUUUCUCUUCUAUUCAAUCGUUCGCAUCACACACUAUUUAUUCAUCAUUUUUGCUUCGAUUAUCUUGUUCACACUGUUUCGACAGGUUGAUCACUUCUUCAACCAUUUCUACAAAAUCAUCAUAUGAAGGUAAAGAUGAAAGAAGAAGAAGAAGAAGAAGAAGAAGAAGAAGAAGAGAGAAGAAGCACGCGGAGAGAGAAAAAAAAAAUCAACUUAGGGAAAUUAGUUAGGUUGGCAGAGAGAGAGAGCGAAAUUGACGGGACACAUCAUUCGGGACAAUUUCGUGAAAAAAAAGAAGAUAAUAAACAUAGAAAAAAAACUCGUCAAAGCAAGAAAUGGAAAGAGUAUA